rnacentral:rRNA from 1 species
GUGUCAGCCGCCGCGGUAAUACGUAGGGGGCAAGCGUUGUCCGGAAUUAUUGGGCGUAAAGCGCGCGCAGGCGGCGGUUUAAGUUUGGUGUUUAAGCCCGGGGCUCAACUCCGGUUCGCACUGAAAACUGGAUCGCUUGAGUGCAGGAGAGGGAAGUGGAAUUCCACGUGUAGCGGUGAAAUGCGUAGAGAUGUGGAGGAACACCAGUGGCGAAGGCGACUUCCUGGCCUGUAACUGACGCUGAGGCGCGAAAGCGUGGGGAGCAAACAGGAUUAGAUUCCCUGGUAGUCCACGCCGUAAACGAUGAGUGCUAGGUGUUAGGGGUUUCGAUACCCUUGGUGCCGAAGUAAACACAGUAAGCACUCCGCCUGGGGAGUACGGUCGCAAGACUGAAACUUAAAUGAAUUGGCGG